UUACAAUAUGGAGUAAGUAUUAACAAAAGCAAGUAAAAUAAGAGCAGGAAAAAUUACCUCUACUAAUAAUAAAUGAACAACAAUGCAAUCACAAUGGUCAUGCAAUAAAAGAACAACCAAACUUAAUGAGUAGAGAGUUUCACUAUAGUAGGUUGUAUGGCAAAAGAAGGCAAUGACAGUGCCUUUUAAUAUGAUAUAAACCCUAUAGAGUAAUAGCAGGUUAAAAAAUAAAAGUAAAAAUUGGCAAUUCCUGGCAAUUCCACUGCACAAGUAAACUACAUGGGACUAUAUUUUCUAGCCUUUUUGUUGGUAUGUUGGCUAAGUGAAAACUUAAAUAUGUCCGUUCAUAGAUACCCAUUGUGUUCUGUCCCUUUGACUCUCAUACAAGUUUUUGGCGAGUAUUUCUUAAGAAAUUCAGUUUUGCUGAGUUUGAAGCAACUACCAUUUUUAAGAUAGCAAAAUGGGUUAAAAAUAUCACUGUUCUGAUAUGUCAGGCAAUGAUGAAGUGGGUUCUGUACAGUUAAUAGAAUCAAGAGAGAGGAGGAAAAGAGAGAAAACUCAUGUAAAUUGAAUUGCAGGUAAGCAUAUCAAAAUGCAUCUAUGAGGGAAAUAAAAACAGAGAAAGAGUAUCUUCUUAAAUGUUUAUGAAUGUUAAUCAAGUUUUAACGUUUGUUUUACUAGUCAGUGUAAUCACUGAAAUACUGCUUGUAUCUGUAUUUUUAGGCCAUGGUUUUAGCCUUAUUAGAUUUCUUAUUUGAAAAAAAAAAAUACAUAUCUUGAACAUAUGGAGAGGAUGAAGCACAUAGGAGUUGAAUUGUUCAUGUAGGAUCAUACAGAAAAUGUAUGAGUAAGCAAGUAAAGGAUCCAGAUUUUCUGUGAUUAGGUCAGUAAAUAACCCUUCUGCAAGGGUCUGCUAGGUCACAGCCUGAACCAGAAGAUGAGCAUGUGGGUGAGCACCUGAGUGAUCAGAGCUGAGGAGCCUAGAUCUGCCCUUCUUCUCUCUCCCUCUUGGUGGCGCUUCCAAGAGCGCGUAUGCACUCGGAGCCUGUGCGGUUUGCACCCUCAGCCCCCUCUACCCCCACUUCCAGUGCACCAGAUUUCAAACCUGUGAAGACUGCAUUCUGCAGCUCGCCAUUUUUCUGAACUGUUGCUGAGACGGUGCUUUGGAAAUGGAUAUACUGGACUUGAACACAAUAUUAAAUAUCCAGGGAUUUUAUGAAGACCUGAAGAUACUGCUCAUCUCCCAUUGAUUGUCCUUGAAGCAGCUUCUUCAUCAUGCUGCAUCUGGAACACAAUUCCUACAGGGAGAAGAGAUGACCAUCUUCUGCUGCAAUUAACCUCCAUGGUAAGUUUCAGAGAGUAAUGAAAUCAAAUCUGAGCUUUUUUUUCUCAGUCCUAGACAACCCAAGUGUC